AAGUACUGUAUAACAAAACUAUAACAUUCGACUAUGUAUAUAUCGACAAUCACAAAAAGCUAACACAUGUGUCUUGCGUGCUAAAGAACCAGUGCAUGUUGGCAGUAUCUACUAUUGCUAAUCGCUAGUACAUGCCCGCUGUAGUGUGGUAAUUUUAGACACACUUGGGUCAAUUUAUUUAUUUGCGGAUCGUUCUGAUAAAUCACACCCUACUUGACGUCAUUUGGUAAAGAAAAUAGGCCUGUAAUUAAUUGAGCCUCGCAAUUCAUAUUUUUAAACCAUCACAGGAAACAUCCGAUCGGGUUCCCUCUGCAUAUACACGACGGCAGCAUGGCGGAA